UCCCUAAGUAGUGAUGACCUUCAAAGUUAUCUACUUGCUGGUAUUGGAUCUGAUUACGAUCCUUUUGUUACUUCUGUAACCACUCGACUUGACCCUCUGUCUCUUGAGGAACUUUAUUGUCAUCUUCUCACCCAUGAGU